rnacentral:lncRNA from 1 species
UUCGGACAGUUUUCACUUGACCUUGACCUCUUUAAUGGAUCAGUGAACAAGGUUAAGUUUUGGUGGUCCAUAUCUCGGAUACUACAGGCAAAAAGACUAGUUUAUUUGGUGGAUGGAAGGACUGUAAGGUGUAUAUGUCCAACAGGCAGGUGUCAUCUGAGCAUGACACCAUUUGCAUUGUUCAGUGGUCAAAGUUAAGUUUUUGAGUAGUUUUUUUUUCUUCUUGAAUAACAUAUAUAUGCAAUAGGUCAACUAUAUUUGG